rnacentral:rRNA from 1 species
UGGGGAAUAUUGGACAAUGGGCGCAAGCCUGAUCCAGCCAUGCCGCGUGGAUGAAGAAGGCCCUAGGGUUGUAAAGUCCUUUCGACGGAGACGAUAAUGACGGUAUCCGUAGAAGAAGCCCCGGCUAAUUUCGUGCCAGCAGCCGCGGUAAUACGAAAGGGGCCAGCGUUGUUCGGAAUUACUGGGCGUAAAGCGCACGUAGGCGGUCGUGUAAGAUGGGGGUGAAAUCCCGGGGCUCAACUCCGGAACUGCCUUCAUGACUGCAUGGCUAGAGGAUGCGAGAGGUUGGCGGAAUUCCGAGUGUAGAGGUGAAAUUCGUAGAUAUUCGGAAGAACACCAGUGGCGAAGGCGGCCAACUGGCGCAUUUCUGACGCUGAGGUGCGAAAGCGUGGGGAGCAAACAGGAUUAGAUACCCAAGUAGUCCCUGAGCGGGCUGGCAAGGCGCAU